CGCUAGAUAUAAAACCAGGUUUAAUCCACCAUUUUUACUAAAGAUAAUGCCUGUAUAUACGUACCAAGUCAGGAAUAUGACGAUUCUUGUCCAUUUGUUUGAUGUGUUUGAGCUUUUGAUUUUGCCAUUUGAUUAGCAUGAUUAGGGACUUUCUUAGAUGCAUGAUUUUUUUAUUAGUUGUUAGUGGCUUUGAACUAGCUGUCAGAUAGCUGUGAGUACUCUCAGAUCUGUUCAUUGUGUCUUUUUGUGUCAGGAUGUAUAAGUACUGGGCCACGUCCACUUGUAUUUUUGUCCAUCUGAUGAGUUAAGCCUUUUUCAACUGAUUUUUAUAGUUCGUUCUUAUGUUGUACUGUUAUACCACUGUCCAAGGUUAGGGGAGGGUUGGGAUCCCACUAACAUGUUUAACCCCGCCACAUUAUUUAUGUAUGUGCCUGUCCCAAGUAAGGAGCCUAUAAUUCAGUGGUUGUCGUUUGUUUAUGUGUUACAUAUUUGUUUUUCGUUCAUUUUUUUUUUUUUACAUAAAUAAGGCCGUUAGUUUUCUCGUUUGAAUUGUUUUACAGUGUCUUAUCGGGGCCUUUUAUAGCUAAUUAUGCGGUAUGGGCUUUGCUCAUUGUUGAAGGCAGUACGGUGACCUAUAGUUGUUAAUGUCUGUGUCAUUUUGGUCUUUUGUGGAUAGUUGUCUCAUUGGCAAUCAUACCACAUCUUCUUUUUUAUAUAUUCGUUUUGAUUUUGCCAUUUGAUUAGGGACUUUUGU
rnacentral:lncRNA from 1 species